rnacentral:rRNA from 1 species
UGGGGAAUUUUGGACAAUGGGGGAAACCCUGAUCCAGCCAUCCCGCGUGUGCGAUGAAGGCCUUCGGGUUGUAAAGCACUUUUGGCAGGAAAGAAACGUCGCGGGUUAAUACCCCGCGAAACUGACGGUACCUGCAGAAUAAGCACCGGCUAACUACGUGCCAGCAGCCGCGGUAAUACGUAGGGUGCAAGCGUUAAUCGGAAUUACUGGGCGUAAAGCGUGCGCAGGCGGUUCGGAAAGAAAGAUGUGAAAUCCCAGAGCUUAACUUUGGAACUGCAUUUUUAACUACCGGGCUAGAGUGCGUCAGAGGGAGGUGGAAUUCCGCGUGUAGCAGUGAAAUGCGUAGAUAUGCGGAGGAACACCGAUGGCGAAGGCAGCCUCCUGGGAUAACACUGACGCUCAUGCACGAAAGCGUGGGGAGCAAACAGGAUUAGAUACCCUGGUAGUCCACGCCCUAAACGAUGUCAACUAGCUGUUGGGGGCCUUCGGGCCUUGGUAGCGCAGCUAACGCGUGAAGUUGACCGCCUGGGGAGUACGGUCGCAAGAUUAAAACUUAAAUGAAUUGACGGGGGUCAUAGCUGUUU